rnacentral:lncRNA from 1 species
GAGCCCUCUACCAUCACAUCUGCCUUCCUGAGCUGCAAGACAGUAACUUUCUGCAACUCUACAACACACUGCCUGACCUCAUCAACUGCAGAAGGAUAAAAUGGAAGUAAACUGAAAAUAUACUUGGAAACAUUUUUGCAUUUCUCAGAGACUGGAUUUAAACUGAAACCAGACUGAAAUACGUGGAUGCCCAUGGAAUGUUGAGCUGAAGCUGGUCUCCCAGCCUGCAGUGCAACACCUGCUGUUUAAAACCCAAUCUCCGUACCACAUGACUUUAAAAACACAAUCAUGUUCAGAGAUGCGAUACAAAUAAAACUACAGUUUUUGCACAUCGUCUCUUGAAUAUCUCACUGCCAAAUAAAAAUCCAAAUCAAGUCAAAUAAAUAGAUGCAUAUUUUGUUAAGGUAACUUCCACAAUUUUCUCUGUACCUGCCUGUAGUCAGAUUCCGGCAUUCAGAAAGUGCUGGAAAUCAUCUUCGCUUCUUGGGGACUAACACUUUUUUAUAGCUGGCUCGCUACAGAGUUUUGAACUCAGUUUUCUCAACCUUCGUAUGCCUUCCUUUGCAAUUGUUAGUAAACUGGUAGCAGCAUUUCACAAAAGGAGAAUUUAAAGGGAAGAGCUGUACGUAGCCAGCUCCCUCUCACCCUCUGCUCGUUGGGCCUAUUUGUCCAGGACAGGAGGCUUUCUCCAUCUUUAAGUGGCAUAGUGUCUGCCAUUCUUGCUAACUGCAAAUGUAAAAGCAUUUUAGCAAACCUGUACUCAGUCUAGGCAGACGUAAGGCAGGAUGUUCAAUCUACCAUCAUCCCCGUGUGGAUCUAAAGAUAUGCACUGUGUCCAAUCAUACCAGUUACCCUGUGUAUCAUAACAACCGUUCACGCCUGGCCAGUUAUGUUCACAUAUUCUGUUGAGAUCAUCACUCGUGACCUCCCUCGUGACCCCAGGCAAGUCUGUAGGUUUGCUGUUAGGAGCUAGAACGUGAGUCUUUCUAGCCUCUUUUCUAGUGCUUUCCUCCUGCUUUAAAUAUUCAGACAUGAAGUAGUGAGCUCCUGGAGUCUGUACUCCUGAUGAAGACAGCAAGCUACUCUGUCUGUUUAAAUAGGACUGAAUUAUUUCGUUUCUGGACAAUUCUUUCCAGUUCGUUUGUUCAAAGGGGCUUUGCAGGUUGGGUUUUUGCUCCUGCUUUUCCGUUUCUGUCCUGUGCUGUUCAGUAAGUGCAGGGAUUUCUACCUGCAAAGGAUCUUUCGGUGUUAAAGGUUUUAUCUGUCCUGUCAUGGGAUCAAAAGUGAGCUUCCUCUCUUUUAAUCUCACAGGUUUCACACCCCCUUCUGUCACGUGCCCAUCCAAGUUGACUGUAUAGUCUCUAGGUCGGUACCUUUUCUUCUUUUUGCUAUCUGAACCUGAAGCAGCAUCAUCACUGUCCAUUUUUGAAGCGUCCUGUGAAAAGCCAAUGUGCGACAUGAGAGAUUCCCCCGGGUGGGAGCUGGUUUUGCAACUGGGAGAUGUGUGCUGUGGAAGCGUCCCUGCUGUGUGCCUGUGCUGGCUGUCAGAAGGUACCUGCUGCUCCUGCCAGUGCUGAGACACCUCAGAUACUGAUUGCUGAGAGAACUCCAGUCUUUUCGCUGGCAUUGGAGGUGUUGAUGGUUGCAUCAAGGAUGGUGGUGGUGACGGCACCUGUGCAGUAUCUAAGAACUGAGACCUUUGAGAUGGACUAGGCAUUGAAUCCUUUGGUGAGUAUGUGGUAUGCUGCCGAGCAAAAGUAUCGUGCCUAACAUUUCUAGGACUAAAGGAGGAACAGCGCGGGCUCUUGGGUUGGUGCGACCCGGUGGUUUCUUC